rnacentral:rRNA from 1 species
UGCUAGUCGAGUGGCUCAGCCAAUACGAGCCACGGCAUACAGCUCAGUAACACGUGGCUAAUCUGCCCUUAGGACGAGAACAACCCCGGGAAACUGGGGCUAACUCUCGAUAGGCGAAGAACUCUGGAAUGAGUCUUCACCCAAAUAGUUCAGCGUUACGCUCGUUGAACCGCCUAAGGAUGAGGCCGCGACCGAUCAGGUUGUUGGUGAGGUAAUGGCUCACCAAGCCUUUUACCGGUGCGGGCCGUGAGAGCGGGAGCCCGGAGAUGGGCACUGAGACAAGGGCCCAGGCCCUACGGGGCGCAGCAGUCGCGAAAACUUUGCAAUACACGAAAGUGUGACAGGGCUAUCCCGAGUGCCAUCCGCUGAGGAAGGCUUUUACCCAGUCUAGAAAGCUGGGGGAAUAAGGAGAGGGCAAGUCUGGUGUCAGCCGCCGCGGUAAUACCAGCUCUCCGAGUGGUGUGGAUGUUUAUUGGGCCUAAAGCAUCCGUAGCUUGCUGAGUUAGUCCCCUGUUAAAUCCAGCAAAUUAAUUGUUGGUGUGCGGGGGAUACUGCUCGGCUAGGGGACGGGAGAGGCAGACGGUAUUUCCGGGGUAGGGGUGAAAUCCUAUAAUCCCGGGAAGACCACCAGUGGCGAAGGCUGUCUGCUAGAACGCGCCCGACGGUGAGGGAUGAAAGCUGGGGGAGCGAACCGGAUUAGAUACCCGGGUAGUCCCAGCUGUAAACUAUGCAGGCUAGGUGUUUGGGCGGCUACGUGCCGCUCUAGUGCCGCAGGAAAGCUGUUAAGCCUGCCGCCUGGGGAGUACGAUCGCAAGAUUGAAACUUAA